GGGAUAACACUUCGAAAGGGCUGCUAAUACCGGAUACACUUAUGAAUCGCAAGGUUCAUAAGGAAAGGAGACCUCCCCUUGGAAGUUUCCGUGUAGAGAUGAGCCUGCGUCCCAUUAGCUAGUUGGCAGGGUAAUGGCCUACCAAGGCGACGAUGGGUAGCGGGUCUGAGAGGAUGAUCCGCCACACUGGAACUGAAACACGGACCAGACUCCUACGGGAGGCAGCAGUGAGGAAUAUUGGACAAUGGGCGCAAGCCUGAUCCAGCGACGCCGCGUGAGUGAUGAAGGCCUUUGGGUCGUAAAGCUCUGUCAGCAGGGAAGAACGGCCGUGCGGUUAAUACCCGUGCGGAUUGACGGUACCUGCAGAGGAAGCACCGGCUAACUCCGUGCCAGCAGCCGCGGUAAUACGGAGGGUGCGAGCGUUAAUCGGAAUUACUGGGCGUAAAGGGCGCGUAGGCGGCCGAUCAAGUCAGGUGUGAAAGCCCACGGCUUAACCGUGUGAAGUGCAUCUGAAACUGGUCGGCUUGAGUAUCGGAGAGGAAAGUGGAAUUCCCGGUGUAGAGGUGAAAUUCGUAGAUAUCGGGAGGAAUACCGGUGGCGAAGGCGACUUUCUGGACGAAUACUGACGCUGAGGCGCGAAAGCGUGGGGAGCAAACAGGAUUAGAUACCCUGGUAGUCCACAGCUGUAAACGAUGUGCACUAGAUGUGGGGAAGUGUUGACCUUUCCUGUGUCGCAGCUAACGCAUUAAGUGCACCGCCUGGGGAGUACGGCCGCAAGGUUAAAACUCAAAGGAAUUGACGGGGGCCCGCACAAGCGGUGGAGUAUGUGGUUUAAUUCGACCUACACGAAGAACCUUACCUGGGUUUGACAUCACGGUGGUAGGGACCUGAAAGGGAACCGACCGCAAGGAGCCGUGACAGGUGCUGCGUGGCUGUCGUCAGCUCAUGUCGUGAGAUGUUCGGUUAAGUCCGAAAACGAGCGCAACCCUCGGGGGAAGUUACACGUGUCUGACCCGACUGCCUGCGAGAAGCAGGAGGAAGGUGGGGAUGACGUCAAGUCAGCAUGGCCUUUAUAUCCAGGGCUACACACACGCUACAAUGGGCGGUACAGUGGGAAGCGAAGACGUGAGUCGGAGCGGAUCCAAAAAGCCGUUCGUAGUUCGGAUUGCAGGCUGCAACCCGCCUGCAUGAAGCUGGAGUUGCUAGUAACCGCAGGUCAGCGAUACUGCGGUGAAUACGUUCCCGGGCCUUGUACACACCGCCCGUCACGUCAUGGGAGCUGGUCACGCCUGAAGCCGAUGAGCGAACCGCAAGGGAGCAGUCGUCGAAGGCAGGGCUGGUGACUGGGACGAAGUCGUAACAAGGUA
rnacentral:rRNA from 1 species